GUUAGAAGGUGCUGAUGAUAUAGAUGGUCAACUGUUGGUAGCCGGUAACAGGGUUCUCAUUAACCUCAAUCUGUCACGGAAUGAGAUAGGUGAGACAGGCCUUGAGGCCCUACUGAAGGCCAUGCAGUAUCAGACAACAUUGUGUAUGGAAAACAAAAGUAGCGGAACUGGGCUUAUGAGAUUAUUAGUCGGGAAGAACAAGGUACGAUCCAGCCAUGAGUUACUACAGAAGAUAACAGAUAUCAUGUUACCUAAAGAUCCUUUCUAUAAACCUCCACCACAGACCCCGGAUGUUACUGAGGCUUAAACACAAAUACAGAUUUACAUAAUGUCACUUUUAACUUUAAUAUAGUUACAGCUCUUUAAUUGAUUUAUUUGAAAAAUAUCCUUUGACUGGAUUUCUAGGAAAAAGUCUUUAAUUGGAUUCCUUGGAAAAAUUGUUCAAUUGGAAUCCUUGGAAAAAUUAUUUUAUUGGAUUCCUUGAAAAAAUUCUUUUAGUGGAUUGGAAAAAUUAUUUUAUUGGAUUCCCUGGAAAAAAUUGUUUAAUUAGAUUCCAUGGGAAAAAUCUUUAAUUGCAUUCCUUGGAAAAAUUCUUUUAUUGGAUUCCUUGAAAAAAUUCUUUUACUGGAUUCCUUGGGAAAAUUAUUUUAUUGGAUUCCAUGGAAAAAUUCUUUCAUUGGAUUCCUUAAAAUAUUUUGACUGGAUUCUGUAGAAAAAUUCUUUGAAGUCAUAAUUCUUUGAAAAUUUUAAAAGCUUUAUAUAAUGAUGAUUUUGAAAAAUAAAGAUAGUGUAUGAACUGGAAAAUGAAACAGCUAUCUUCUGAUGUCGUUAAACGUGUUUAUGAAUGUGAUAACAAAAACUGUGAUGUUUAGAUAUAAUAAAUCAGUGCAGAAUUUUGUCAUAAUUUGUUCUAUGCUGAAUUUAAGGUCAACAUUAAAACAUGAUAUAUUAGUAUUACUUAUAUCAAAUAUAUAUGUGUUAAACAAAGUUAUUAUAAAAUGUGCUAAAAUGUUAAAUGUAAAAGCCUAUAGCUAUAACUUGGCUUUUAAAUUAUUCUAGAAGUUUAGUCAACAUUAACACAUAUAAUAUAAAGCCUAACAUUGUUGAAAUGUGUGAAAUUUGAACGGAAAAGCGUAUAUCUUAUAAAGGUUACUUUCUGUUAAAUGUUAGAUAAUAAUUCUAGGAUAAUGAAUAUGCAACUUAUUGAAAUAAUGUUGUCUUUUAUGUAAUAAACUUUAAAACACUCGCAUUAACAUUUAGAUAAAAGUUGUUUGUAUUUUUUUUAAAACGUCCAUAUUUUCUGUGAUAAUGAUUGUUUUUAUGUUCAGAGUUAUUUAUAUAUGUACAUGUUUGGUUAUUUUAUUUAAUAAAUGUUAUUGAAUGUAUUUUUUAUUUCAAUAACAUAUAUAUUACUUAACAGUUUGAAAGUUUAGAAUCAUAAAUGCAUAUAUAUGUGUUACAUAUUAUGUUAUGACACAUAAUGUUAUGUAUGUUAAUAUGCAAAUAACAUUUGUGAUGAAUAAAGAAAUCUCCUCUAAAA